GCUGAAGUUGAGGACAGACUGAAGAGAAGCACAUGAAGGAGUUGCUGGAACAAUAGUUGUGAAUCCAGAAGGUCUUAUGGGUAGAGCAACCAUGGACAAUUUAACCACAGCUCAUAAUGCACAUCUUCUGCGCAACUUCACCAUGAAAGCAAGGAAUACAAUCAAAGAGACUGACCCUCAUUUGCACUAAAAUACAUGAGAUUAUGGGUGCAUCUGAGAAUGAUCAUCUCCUGAUAGUGUUCCAGAAGAUCCCAGGUGAAUAGUUUCUUAGACAUGUUCAUACUCACUUUGUCAAAUGCCAUAUUUGUAUUGUAUUUUGUUUGAUUUUCACU